UUUUAUAAUGAAAACAUCUUCUCAGAUACCCCUUCAUUACUUUUAUGAGUGAAACAUAACAGUUUGAAAAA
rfam:Myotis brandtii contig200960, whole genome shotgun sequence.